GCAGUCGUGGCCGAGUGGUUAAGGCGAUGGACUGGAAAUCCAAUGGGGUCUCCUCACACAGGUUCGAAUCCUGUCGACUGCG
rnacentral:tRNA from 1 species